GCCGCCGUGGUGUAAUGGUAGCACACCCGUCUAGAAUGGGGUUUUCCAAGUUGAAAGCGGGAAGUACAGGUUCGAAUCCAGGCGGCGGCGCCG
rnacentral:tRNA from 1 species